rnacentral:rRNA from 1 species
UCUGGUUGAUCCUGCCUGAACUGAUGUGUUCAUUUCAAAGAUUAAGCCAUGCAUGUAUAAGUAUAAUCUGCCAGUCAGAGAAACUGCGUACGGCUCAUUACACCAGCCUUAAUUUACUUGACCUUGACACCCUACUUGGAUAACUGUGGUAAUUCUAGAGCUAAUACAUGCACCAAAGCUCCAAUCUCCCCAGAGCGGAGCGCAUUUGUUCGCCACAAAACCAAGCGCCUCAGGGCGUUCAGUGUUGACUCAGAACAACUAAGCUGAUCGCACGGUCUUGCACCGGCGACGUGUCUUUCAAGUGUCUGCCUUAUCAACUUUCGAUGGUAGUGUAUCUGACUACCAUGGUGAUGACGGGUAACGGAGGAUAAGGGUUCGACUCCGGAGAAGGGGCCUGAGAAAUGGCCACUACGUCUAAGGAUGGCAGCAGGCGCGCAAAUUACCCACUCUCGACGCGAGGAGGUAGUGACGAGAAAUAACGAGACCGUUCUCAUCUGAGGCCGGUCAUCGGAAUGGGUACAAUUUAAACCCUUUAACGAGUAUCUAUGAGAGGGCAAGUCUGGUGCCAGCAGCCGCGGUAAUUCCAGCUCUCAAAAUGCAUAGAAUUAUUGCUGCGGUUAAAAAGCUCGUAGUUGGAUCUGUGCUGAGCGACCGGUCUGCCCACUGGGCACGCACUGGCUCGCCCGGCUUUCCCUGCCGGUCUCUCUCUGACGUUGGUUUUAACCGGCUGGCGUCAGUGGGCUGGCGAGUUUACUUUGAACAAAUCAGAGUGCUUCAAACAGGCGUCUCGCCUGAAUGUUCGUGCAUGGAAUAAUAGAAGAGGAUCACGGUCCGAUUUUAUUGGUUUUGCUGACCGAGAUAAUGGUUAACAGAGACAAACGGGGCCAUUCGUAUUGCNAUGUAGUUCAUAAGUUAAGAUGAACAAACGCUUUGUGAAGAAAGCCUUCGAGCCCAGCAUCACUGUGCCGCCCCUCUCCUUCACCUUUGACCAGUUCUUCAAGGGUGUGACCAUCGAGGAGGGCCGCGUGAUGGUGGACGUGGACGCGCAUGUCCAGAAGCUCGUUCGUGUAAAGAACGCCUGGCUCCAUUCAUCGAGGAAGCGCCAGGUGAGGCGUACUCGUUGCCUUCUUUACUCCGUUGUGUAAGGGCGAGACGGGGAGCAGUGGCACCUCAUCGAGCCUGAGCGCAGGGGAUGUCGAGAAGAUCGUCAACGAGAAGCUGGAGGCCGAGCGAGCGGAAGCCAAGCAGCGUGAGGACGAGCUCGUCCGCAAGCUGGAGAAGACGCAACGCAAGCUCGCGCGUGCGAAGCGCACCUCGGACGGUGGGAGUGCGAAGAAAAAGAAGGUGGAUGAGGACGAAGGCGAUGAGCAAGAAGACAUUGUGGAUGUCUGACCUGUUGACAUUAUGGACCUGUAAUGUUAAUCGUAUCGUUCUCAGUAAAGUUAAUCUCUAGUUCUUCUCAUAAGCAUUUUAGGUAGGAAGCCCGCAGAUGAGGGCAACCCCGGUCCCACAGAGUUGCUUCGGCAACGGGAUCGGGGUCUAUUUUUUAAUAUGUUUGCGAAAUGCUAGUAUUUCGAUGUGAAAUCGUCGGCAUGUUUUAUUCAACGACAUAUUAAUAUUAAAAAUGCAUUGGGAGAAUAAAGAGAAUGAGGUAAACCUGGUGCCAGCAGCCGCGGUAAUUCACUCUGUGAUGAGUAUUGAGUGUACUGCCGACUAGCUGGUGCCUGGUGUGGCUUCCCGAAAGGAUGGGUAGGGAGUCAUGGAUUGCUUGGAAGUGUUGCCCAUCGUGUAUGCAGAGUCAUAACCAAUCAACCCAAAGAUGGUAGUGCCGGCG